GCUGUGAAAAGCAGGAACUAAAUGAUCACAGUGUAAAUGUAUCUGAUCACUUAUUCAGAAACUCCAUCAAAUUAACUACCGCUGUUUCUGCCAUCCACUAACUACCAUGGUUAUUGGGGUCAUAAUGCUGCUGGAGUUGGGACAGGACAGGUCUUGAGAGAAAUUAAGACUUAAAAGGACAUGAGAUUUUUCUGAAAAUGUUAAAUGAAAAGGGGAAGCAGGAGUAAGGAGACAAGACUAGGGUCACAUUGGUGAUUCUACAGGUUGAAAAGUGUGAGGCUGUUUGACAGAGCAGUCUCAAAAGCUUUAUCCCAGCUAGAGGACCUACGUACCUGUGCACAGCCCAGCUGCCUACUGCAGGAAGAGAUCCAGAUGCAUACCAGCCUUUUCCCCCAGGGUGAAGGAAAGAUUUUCUCAUCUGCCCUGAAAAGGUUGGUCAGCACCCACAGGCUCUGGCCUGACAUAGCCUGUUCACCCAGCCCAGGUGCCUGAGAAGUGGAAUUAAGCAGGAGCUGACUGGUGAAUGCAGUGAGUGACUGAUGUUUCUGUGAGAUGGGCCAAGAAACACCAGCAGGAUCCAGAAAUGUUGCCAGAGGAAAUCCAAGGGGAAGAUUAAGUAUAUUGUGGACAAGGAACAACCUGGCAAUAUAAUGAUGGUAAGAAGUUGGGGGUUGCUAGUCUGGGACUGUUUCAUGGAAAUUCAUGGAACUGUUAUUGUUGAAUCAGUUGUUGAAAUUGCUUAUUUUUGAAUCAUUGAAUUGUUAUUUAGUAUUUACUGUUACUUGCUGAAGAGUUCCUCUUUGAACCGUUGUUAAUGUUAGCACUCACACCUGAUCAUUUGAAAAGAAGCUCAGAUGUGAAUGGCUCUGUAGAUGUACUUCUAGAACAUAAAAUAUCAGCUGUGAGAAACUGUGACAUUUAGACCUAUAUAGAAGUAGCCAUCUUACUUACAGGAGCAAUAAAACCACCUUACUCAAAGACAGUCUGCAGUUAAGCAUCAUAAAACAU